UACGGGGGGGGCAAGCGUUGUUCGGAAUUACUGGGCGUAAAGGGCUCGUAGGCGGCCAACUAAGUCGGAUGUGAAAUCCCCAGGCUUAACCUGGGAACUGCAUCCGAUACUGGAUGGCUUGAAUCCGGGAGAGGGAUGCAGAAUUCCAGGUGUAGCGGUGAAAUGCGCAGAUAUCAGGAGGAACACCUAUGGCGAAGGCAGCUCGCUGGGACGUUACUGACGCUGAGACGCGAAAGCGUGGGGAGCAAACAGG
rnacentral:rRNA from 1 species